rnacentral:rRNA from 1 species
UACAGAGGUCUCAAGCGUUGUUCGGAUUCAUUGGGCGUAAAGGGUGCGUAGGUGGCAUGGUAAGUCGGAUGUGAAAUCCCGGGGCUCAACCCCGGAACUGCAUUCGAUACUGCUGCGCUAGAGUACUGGAGAGGAGAUUGGAAUUUACGGUGUAGCAGUGAAAUGCGUAGAUAUCGUAAGGAAGACCAGUGGCGAAGGCGGAUCUCUGGACAGUUACUGACACUGAGGCACGAAGGCCAGGGGAGCAAAACGGGG